rnacentral:snRNA from 1 species
AAAACUUCUUUUUUUUUUAACAAACGGAGAAAAAAAAUCUGUUCUUAUCAGUUUAAUAUCUGAUACGUCACCUAUCUGGGGACCAUAUAUUAAAUUCAUUUUUGGAAUAGGGAGAUGGAAUAGGGGCUUGCUCCGUCCACUCCACGCAUCGACCUGGUAUUGCAGUACCUCCAGGAACGGUGCACCCCCU